rnacentral:rRNA from 1 species
GGUGAGUAAAUUAUUGAUUUUUUUUAUUUAAUUUAUUUUUAGUAAAAUAUUAUUUUGUUUUAUUCGUUGAUUGAAAAAAUUUUAUUUAAUUAUAGUUUAUAGUAAUGUGAAUGAAAUUUUAGAUUUAUUAAUAAGAAGAUGCUUAUUGUACCUUGUGUCUCAGGGUUAAUUAAUUUAUUUAUUAAAUAAUUAUUUCUCGAAUUGUUAAGAGUUAUUAUAAUAUUGUUUUUUAUGUUGAAAAAUGGUUAAAAAUAUUAUAAUAGGGGUGAUACGUUAGUCGUUUAAUGUUAUAUCUAGUUUUCUAAUAAAUUAAUUAAAUUAAUUUAUUUUGUUGGAAUUAUCUAAUUAUUAGAUUAUUUUAUGGAAUAUUAAAUUGGUCUAGGGAUGAGCUUGGUUCAAUAUUAUUAAAAGGUCUUUUAUUAGAAUUAUUUAUAGAAUUGGAAUUUUUUAUUUAGUUUGUUAUAAAUAUUAAUUUGGUUUUAUAAUUUUUUUUUCUUUAAGUUUUUUAUUAGAAUGUAAUUAUGAAUUUUGUUUAAUUGGUAAUUAUGGUUAAAUUAGUAAAAUAUGUUGUAAAAUUGAAAUGGAUUGUUAGGUUGUUUUAAGGAAUUCGGCAAAUUAAUUUUUCACCUGUUUAUUAAAAACAUGUCUUUUUGUUAUGAUGAAAAGUCUAGCCUGCCCACUGAUGACUUGAAUGGCUGCAGUAAUUUGACUGUACAAAGGUAGCAUAAUCAUUAGUUUUUUAAUUGAAAGCUGGAAUGAAAGGUUGGAUGAAAAAAUUACUGUCUCAAGACAAAUUUUUGAAUUUUAUUUUUGAGUAAAAAAGCUUAAAUAUUAGUUAAAGACGAGAAGACCCUAUAGAAUUUUAUAUUUAUAUUUUAUUGUUGUUUUUGGUAUUUAUUGUUCAAUAAGUUAUUUUAUUUGGUUGGGGUGAUUAUAAAAUUUAUUGAACUUUUAUUUGUUUUUACACUAAUAUGUGGUUAGUUGAUCCAUUUUUAAUGAUUAUAAGAUUAAAUUACCUUAGGGAUAACAGCGUAAUUUUUCUUGAGAGUUCUUAUCGAUAGUAAAGUUUGCGACCUCGAUGUUGGAUUAAAAUUUCUUUGGGUGUAGAAGCUCAAAUAUUAGGUCUGUUCGACCUUUAAAAUUUUACAUGAUCUGAGUUUAAACCGGUGUGAGCCAGGUUGGUUUCUAUCUUGAUUGUUUUUUUUUAUUUUAGUACGAAAGGACCAAAUAGAGGAUUUAUAAUUUAAUGGUUGAAUUUUAUUAUAC